UGGGGAAUAUUGCACAAUGGGCGCAAGCCUGAUGCAGCCAUGCCGCGUGUGUGAAGAAGGCCUUCGGGUUGUAAAGCACUUUCAGCGAGGAGGAAGGUGGUGAACUUAAUACGUUCAUCAAUUGACGUUACUCGCAGAAGAAGCACCGGCUAACUCCGUGCCAGCAGCCGCGGUAAUACGGAGGGUGCAAGCGUUAAUCGGAAUUACUGGGCGUAAAGCGCACGCAGGCGGUUUGUUAAGUCAGAUGUGAAAUCCCCGGGCUCAACCUGGGAACUGCAUUUGAAACUGGCAAGCUAGAGUCUCGUAGAGGGGGGUAGAAUUCCAGGUGUAGCGGUGAAAUGCGUAGAGAUCUGGAGGAAUACCGGUGGCGAAGGCGGCCCCCUGGACGAAGACUGACGCUCAGGUGCG
rnacentral:rRNA from 1 species